rnacentral:rRNA from 1 species
UACAGAGGUGGCAAGCGUUGUUCGGAUUUAUUGGGCGUAAAGGGUCCGUAGGCGGCCUAAAAAGUUGGAUGUGAAAUCCCACAGCUUAACUGUGGAACUGCAUUCAAAACUUUUAGGCUCGAGUGUGAUAGGGGUAAAGGGAAUUCCCGGUGUAAGGGUGAAAUCUGCAGAGAUCGGGAGGAACACCAGUCGCGAAGGCGCUUUACUGGAUCACUACUGACGCUGAGGGACGAAAGCCAGGGGAGCAAACGGG